GGUGAACGCUGGCGGCGUGCUUAACACAUGCAAGUCGAACGGAAAGGCUGCUGCUUGCUGGGGUUCUCGAGGGCCGAUCGGGGGCGUAACACGUGGGUGACCGGCUCUGCACUUCGGGAUAAGCCUAGGUAGCUGGGCCUACUACCGUAUCGGACAAUGCUUUCGGUUGCAUUCUGGAGAGCUUUUUCGGUUUGGGGUUAGCUCGCGGCCUAAUAGCUUUUUCGUGGAGUAAUGGCAUACCAAGGCCGAGGCGGGUAGCCGUCCUGAGAGCGUGUACAGCCACAAUACGCCUGCGAUACGGAGCAGACUCGUACGGGAGGCAGCAGUCGGAAACAUUACACAGUGAGAGCAAGCGUGAUGCAGAGACGCCGGGUGGGUGAUGACGGUCUUCGGGUUGUAAACUCCUUUAGCUAGGGACGACGCGCAAGUGACGGUACCUGGAGAAGAAGCACCGGCUAACUACGUG
rnacentral:rRNA from 1 species